CUUUUAUACUACUAUAAUAUAUUAACCUUUCUGAGACUCACCUUGCGGUCUUACAGACCGACGAAGCAUAAAACUGAUGGUUUCUGCGAAACCGUAUAGGUUAUGAUAAUCAAGCGCUGGUACCUUCUUAACCUAUUAUCCGCGUUAGUACUGCGUACGCAUGCGCCGCACUUGGACGUAUAACAGAUUUCAGCGUCGAUCAGUCUGUGAGACCGAGGUGAGUCUUUGGCCGGAAUUCAUAGUCCGAUCUUAUAUUUAAGAUCAUCUUAAGUACUGUUUUAAGAUGUCAUAAGUCAAUCACAGAGCCGUAUUCGCAUUUUAAGACCCUAGAAAACAUUUUGCAUGUAAAUAUCAAGCAAAGUACAUGCAAAAAUGGUUCAUAUUGCAAGCAAAAACAUGUCCAUGUGCGUCGUCAUAGAAGCAUCAAAUGGCUAGUAAAAUUUGCACGCAAUAUUUUCUUCAUA